ensembl:lncRNA
ACACUAGUUAUCUAUUUUAUUUGUCCAUUUGCAAUAUUGAUAAUUUUAGGAACAUUUGUGUUGGAUAAAAAGCGAGUUACAUCAGUUACUAACUCAACAUGCAGAUGCAGUAUAUCACAGAUAAAUCACAGAGGUUACUUGACUCUUGUCUGGAUGUUACAGGAACAGAUUAUGUUUAUCUGCUGUAGAGUGACUGAUGAAGGAAUGCUGCCAUCAAAGGAUUUGUAUCUUUUGUGGUGGAGCAGGACCUGCAAGGAAAGGGGAAAAAAAGGAAAAACCUGAAACAAAAGAAUAAAGUAGUGGUGCUCAUGGAGAGCAGCACACGAUUGUUUGGAGCAGACACAGCAGCAGUCAGAUUGUCCCGCAUGUGUUC